rnacentral:rRNA from 1 species
GGUAAGCGCGUGCGCACAGCCGGGGUGAGUCGAGGGGGGUGAGGGUGGGUCGGAAUGCAGGGGCGUAAAGGGCGCGUAGGGGGGGUGUCAAGUCAGGCGUGAAAGCCCCGGGCUCAACCUGGGAACAGCGCUUGAGACUGGCACGCUCGAGUUCGGGAGAGGAUGGUGGAAUUCCCAGUGUAGAGGUGAAAUGCGUAGAUAUGCGGAGGAACACCGAUGGCGAAGGCAAUCCCCUGGGCCUGCACUGACGCUCAUGCACGAAAGCGUGGGGAGCAAACAGGAUUAGAUACCCCGGUAGUC